AAUACAGGAGCUUUGAGGUUGCUCAAAGAACUUCCUGGGAGCUGAGAGAUGCUUCACCCAUGGGCAGCACCCUCGGGAUGUCUCCAGCUGUCACCUGAGCCUUUCAAAUCCAUUUCUGCAGCUUUUUAGGCUUCUGCUUUUAUUGCUGUUCCCAGUUUGCUGGAGUGUCUGCUCACGCUGGAGGGUUAAUGAGCCACUGAUUGGGGUUUAAUUGAGUUGUGGCUUGAAGAUGG
rnacentral:lncRNA from 1 species